rnacentral:rRNA from 1 species
UACGAAGGGGGCUAGCGUUGCUCGGAAUUACUGGGCGUAAAGCGCACGUAGGCGGAUCAUUAAGUCGGGGGGUGAAAUCCUGGAGCUCAACUCCAGAACUGCCUUCGAUACUGGCGAUCUUGAGUCCGGGAGAGGUGAGUGGAACUCCGAGUGUAGAGGUGAAAUUCGUAGAUAUUCGGAAGAACACCAGUGGCGAAGGCGGCUCACUGGCCCGGUACUGACGCUGAGACGCGAAAGCGUGGGGAGCGAACAGG